UACAGAGGGUGCAAGCGUUGUUCGGAAUUAUUGGGCGUAAAGGGCUCGUAGGCGGUUUGUCGCGUCGGGAGUGAAAACUCAGGGCUUAACCCUGAGCCUGCUUCCGAUACGGGCAGACUAGAGGUAUGCAGGGGAGAACGGAAUUCCUGGUGUAGCGGUGAAAUGCGCAGAUAUCAGGAGGAACACCGGUGGCGAAGGCGGUUCUCUGGGCAUUACCUGACGCUGAGGAGCGAAAGUGUGGGGAGCGAACAGG
rnacentral:rRNA from 1 species